rnacentral:rRNA from 1 species
UACAGAGGUGGCAAGCGUUGUUCGGAAUUACUGGGCGUAAAGGGCGCGUAGGCGGUCUUGUAAGUCCCGUGUGAAAUCCCUCGGCUCAACUGAGGAACUGCACGGGGAAACUGCUUGGCUUGAGUUCGGGAGAGGGAAGCGGAAUUCCGGGUGUAGCGGUGAAAUGCGUAGAUAUCCGGAGGAACACCGGUGGCGAAGGCGGCUUCCUGGACCGACACUGACGCUGAGGCGCGAAAGCGUGGGGAGCGAACAGG